rfam:Egretta garzetta contig23734, whole genome shotgun sequence.
CUUCGGUGAAGAUGAGAUGACGAGUCUGAAAGGGAAUAUCCUUGUCCAAGUGCCCCAUUUCGUGUUGUGUUCUACAGCAUGGACUUGGGGACCUUGGGUCACAACUUGAGUGACUCAGAGGCAUUUGUCUGAGAAGG